CCUAACCAGAAAGCCACGGCUAACUACGUGCCAGCAGCCGCGGUAAUACGUAGGUGGCAAGCGUUGUCCGGAAUUAUUGGGCGUAAAGGGCUCGCAGGCGGUUUCUUAAGUCUGAUGUGAAAGCCCCCGGCUCAACCGGGGAGGGUCAUUGGAAACUGGGAAACUUGAGUGCAGAAGAGGAGAGUGGAAUUCCACGUGUAGCGGUGAAAUGCGUAGAGAUGUGGAGGAACACCAGUGGCGAAGGCGACUCUCUGGUCUGUAACUGACGCUGAGGAGCGAAAGCGUGGGGAGCGAACAGGAUUAGAUACCCUGGUAGUCCACGCCGUGGACGAUGAGUGCUAAGUGUUAGGGGGUUUCCGCCCCUUAGUGCUGCAGCUAACGCAUUAAGCACUCCGCCUGGGGAGUACGGUCGCAAGACUGAAACUCAAAGGAAUUGACGGGGGCCCGCACAAGCGGUGGAGCAUGUGGUUUAAUUCGAAGCAACGCGAAGAACCUUACCAGGUCUUGACAUCCUCUGACAACCCUAGAUUUCAGCUUUCCCUUCGGGGACAGAGUGACAGGUGGUGCAUGGUUGUCAGUCAGCUCGUGUCGUGAGAUGUUGGGUUAAGUCCCGCAACGAGCGCAACCCUUGAUCUUAGUUGCCAGCAUUUAGUUGGGCACUCUAAGGUGACUGCCGGUGACAAACCGGAGGAAGGUGGGGAUGACGUCAAAUCAUCAUGCCCCUUAUGACCUGGGCUACACACGUGCUACAAUGGACAGAACAAAGGGCUGCGAGACCGCAAGGUUUAGCCAAUCCCAUAAAUCUGUUCUCAGUUCGGAUCGCAGUCUGCAACUCGACUGCGUGAAGCUGGAAUCGCUAGUAAUCGCGGAUCAGCAUGCCGCGGUAAGUCAGCCGCGGGCCUUGUACACACCGCCCGUCACACCACGAGAGUUUAACGACAC
rnacentral:rRNA from 1 species